rnacentral:rRNA from 1 species
UUAAGUUAAUAAGGGCGCACGGUGGAUGCCUUGGCACUAGGAGCCGACGAAGGACGUGACAAACGACGAUAUGCCUUGGGUAGCUGUAAGUAAGCGAUGAUCCAGGGAUUUCCGAAUGGGGGAACCCAACAGGUAAUACCUGUUACCUACAUCUGUUAAGGAUGUGAGGAGGAAGACGCAGUGAACUGAAACAUCUAAGUAGCUGCAGGAAGAGAAAGCAAAAGCGAUUGCCUUAGUAGCGGCGAGCGAAACGGCAGAAGGGCAAACCGAAGAGUUUACUCUUCGGGGUUGUAGGACUGCAAUGUGGACUCAAAGAUUAUAGAAGAAUGAUUUGGGAAGAUCAGCCAAAGAGAGUAAUAGCCUCGUAUUUAAAAUAGUCUUUGUACUUAGCAGUAUCCUGAGUACGGCGGGACACGUGAAAUCCCGUCGGAAUCUGGGAGGACCAUCUCCCAACCCUAAAUACUCCCUAGUGACCGAUAGUGAACCAGUACCGUGAGGGAAAGGUGAAAAGCACCCCGGGAGGGGAGUGAAAUAGAACCUGAAACCGUGUGCCUACAACAAGUUCGAGCCCGUUAAUGGGUGAGAGCGUGCCUUUUGUAGAAUGAACCGGCGAGUUACGUUAUGAUGCGAGGUUAAGUUGAAGAGACGGAGCCGUAGGGAAACCGAGUCUGAAUAGGGCGCCUUAGUAUCAUGACGUAGACCCGAAACCAUGUGACCUACCCAUGAGCAGGUUGAAGGUGCGGUAAGACGCACUGGAGGACCGAACCAGGGCACGUUGAAAAGUGCUUGGAUGACUUGUGGGUAGCGGAGAAAUUCCAAACGAACUUGGAGAUAGCUGGUUCUCUCCGAAAUAGCUUUAGGGCUAGCGUCGACAUUAGAGAUUCUUGGAGGUAGAGCACUGUUUGGGUGAGGGGUCCAUCCCGGAUUACCAAUCUCAGAUAAACUCCGAAUGCCAAUGAAUUAUGGUCGGCAGUCAGACUGCGAGUGCUAAGAUCCGUAGUCGAAAGGGAAACAGCCCAGACCACCAGCUAAGGUCCCAAAAUAAUUGUUAAGUGGAAAAGGAUGUGGGGUUGCACAGACAACUAGGAUGUUAGCUUAGAAGCAGCUAUUCAUUCAAAGAGUGCGUAAUAGCUCACUAGUCGAGUGACCCUGCGCCGAAAAUGUACCGGGGCUAAAACAAUUUACCGAAGCUGUGGAUACCUUUAUAGGUAUGGUAGGAGAGCGUUCUAUGUGUGAUGAAGGUAUACCGUGAGGAGUGCUGGAACGCAUAGAAGUGAGAAUGCCGGUAUGAGUAGCGAAAGACAGGUGAGAAUCCUGUCCACCGUAAGACUAAGGUUUCCAGGGGAAGGCUCGUCCGCCCUGGGUUAGUCGGGACCUAAGGAGAGACCGAAAGGUGUAUCCGAUGGACAACAGGUUGAUAUUCCUGUACUAGAGUAUGUAGUGAUGGAGGGACGCAGUAGGCUAACUAAAGCAGACGAUUGGAAGAGUCUGUCUAAGCAGUGAGGUGUGAAUUGAGUCAAAUGCUUAAUUCUAUAACAUUGAGCUGUGAUGGGGAGCGAAGUUUAGUAGCGAAGUUAGUGACGUCACACUGCCAAGAAAAGCUUCUAGCGUUUAAACAUACUCUACCCGUACCGCAAACCGACACAGGUAGUCGAGGCGAGUAGCCUCAGGUGAGCGAGAGAACUCUCGUUAAGGAACUCGGCAAAAUGACCCCGUAACUUCGGGAGAAGGGGUGCUGACUUUAAGUCAGCCGCAGUGAAUAGGCCCAAGCAACUGUUUAUCAAAAACACAGCUCUCUGCUAAAUCGUAAGAUGAUGUAUAGGGGGUGACGCCUGCCCGGUGCUGGAAGGUUAAGAGGAGUGCUUAGCGUAAGCGAAGGUAUGAAUUGAAGCCCCAGUAAACGGCGGCCGUAACUAUAACGGUCCUAAGGUAGCGAAAUUCCUUGUCGGGUAAGUUCCGACCCGCACGAAAGGCGUAAUGAUUUGGGCACUGUCUCAACGAGAGACUCGGUGAAAUUUUAGUACCUGUGAAGAUGCAGGUUACCCGCGACAGGACGGAAAGACCCCAUGGAGCUUUACUGCAGUUUGAUAUUGAGUGUCUGUACCACAUGUACAGGAUAGGUAGGAGUCUAAGAGAUCGGGACGCCAGUUUCGAAGGAGACGCUGUUGGGAUACUACCCUUGUGUUAUGGCCACUCUAACCCAGAUAGGUGAUCCCUAUCGGAGACAGUGUCUGACGGGCAGUUUGACUGGGGCGGUCGCCUCCUAAAAGGUAACGGAGGCGCCCAAAGGUUCCCUCAGAAUGGUUGGAAAUCAUUCGCAGAGUGUAAAGGUAUAAGGGAGCUUGACUGCGAGAGCUACAACUCGAGCAGGGACGAAAGUCGGGCUUAGUGAUCCGGUGGUUCCGUAUGGAAGGGCCAUCGCUCAACGGAUAAAAGCUACCCUGGGGAUAACAGGCUUAUCUCCCCCAAGAGUUCACAUCGACGGGGAGGUUUGGCACCUCGAUGUCGGCUCGUCGCAUCCUGGGGCUGUAGUCGGUCCCAAGGGUUGGGCUGUUCGCCCAUUAAAGCGGCACGCGAGCUGGGUUCAGAACGUCGUGAGACAGUUCGGUCCCUAUCCGUCGCGGGCGUAGGAAAUUUGAGAGGAUCUGCUCCUAGUACGAGAGGACCAGAGUGGACUUACCGCUGGUGUACCAGUUGUCUUGCCAAAGGCAUCGCUGGGUAGCUAUGUAGGGAAGGGAUAAACGCUGAAAGCAUCUAAGUGUGAAACCCACCUCAAGAUGAGAUUUCCCAUGAUUAUAUAUCAGUAAGAGCCCUGAGAGAUGAUCAGGUAGAUAGGUUAGAAGUGGAAGUGCGGCGACACAUGUAGCGGACUAAUACUAAUAGCUCGAGGACUUAUCCAA